rnacentral:rRNA from 1 species
CCUACGGGAGGCAGCAGUGAGGAAUAUUGGUCAAUGGACGCAAGCCUGAACCAGCCAAGUAGCGUGAAGGAUGACUGCCCUACGGGUUGUAAACUUCUUUUAUAAAGGAGUAAAGUUAGACACGUGUGCCUUUUUGUAUGUACUUUAUGAAUAAGGAUCGGCUAACUCCGUGCCAGCAGCCGCGGUAAUACGGAGGAUCCGAGCGUUAUCCGGAUUUAUUGGGUUUAAAGGGAGCGUAGAUGGGUUGAUAAGUCAGUUGUGAAAGUUUGCGGCUCAACCUUAAAAUUGCAAUUGAUACUGGUAGUCUUGAGUACAGGUGAGGUAGGCGGAAUGCGUGGUGUAGCGGUGAAAUGCUUAGAUAUCACGAAGAACACCGAUUGCGAAGGCAGCUUACUAAACUGUGACUGACAUUGAUGCUCGAAAGUGUGGGUAGCAAACAGGAUUAGAUACCCCAGUAGUC